CCCUUAGAUGCUCUGGGCCGCACGCGCGCUACACUGAUGCAUUCAACGAGCCUAUCCUUGACCGACAGGUCCGGGUAAUCUUUGAAUCUGCAUCGUGACGGGGAUAGAUUAUUGCAAUUAUUAAUCUUCAACGAGGAAUGCCUAGUAGGCGCAAGUCAUCAGCUUGCGUCGAUUACGUCCCUGCCCUUUGUACACACCGCCCGUCGCUCCUACCGAUUGGGUGUGCUGGUGAAAUGUUCGGAUCGGCCGUUUGUCGCGGUUUCCGCGUCAUGUGGCUGAGAAGUUCAUUAAACCCGCCCACCUAGAGGAAGGAGAAGUCGUAACA
rnacentral:rRNA from 1 species